rnacentral:rRNA from 1 species
GAUGAACGCUAGCGGCAGGCCUAAUACAUGCAAGUCGGACGGGAUUCAGGAGCUUGCUUCUGAUGAGAGUGGCGCACGGGUGCGUAACACGUAUGUAACCUACCUUUAUCAGGGGGAUAGCCUCUCGAAAGAGAGAUUAAGCCCGCAUAAAAUCACAGCACAGCAUUGUGUAAUGAUCAAAUAUUUAUAGGAUAAAUAUGGUCAUGCGGAACAUUAGCUAGAUGGCGGGGUAACGGCCCACCAUGGCGACGAUGUUUAGGGGAUCUGAGAGGAUGGCCCCCCACACUGGUACUGAGACACGGACCAGACUCCUACGGGAGGCAGCAGUAAGGAAUAUUGAGCAAUGGGCGGAAGCCUGAACCAGCCAUGCCGCGUGCAGGAAGACGGCCCUACGGGUUGUAAACUGCUUUUAUACGGGAAUAAACCCAGAUACGUGUAUCUGGCUGAAUGUACUGUAAGAAUAAGGAUCGGCUAACUCCGUG